CACUGAGGAAGCACCAGAGCUGGGAGGAGAGCUAAUAUUGUGCCACUGUUUAAAAAGGGUAAAUGGCACGACCCAGUGGGAAUCUUGCCGACAGCCAGUGUGGAUGGGAAAAGUGGCUUCAGGACUACCACUUGUGUUGUCAGCAGUGAUUCAGGAUGAGGAUGCCCCAGCCCAGAAGAGGACCACUGGUACAAUAAGCACAGCUGACAACAGGGCAAGAAACCCCAAAGCUCAUUGUUUGCAUACACACCUAUCCUGCGGUAGUGGAAAAGUUCAAAUUCCUGGUGGCACCUCAGAAGACUUACAUGGCACUGUCACGGUCACUAACAGCAGAAUAUCCUGAGGUACCACACUGGAAGAAUUGGAGAAGAAAACUCGAUGGCAGAGGAGAAAGAAACAUCCCUAGCAUCACCUUAUGCAAGUGGAACACGGACCUGGGUUCCAAAGAAGCCCUGUGCCAUGACUAAGGGUUAU